UACGUAGGGGGCGAGCGUUGUCCGGAUUUAUUGGGAGUAAAGGGCGCGUAGGCGGUUUUCUAAGUUUGGAGUGACAGUGCUCGGCUUAACUGAGCAAGGCCUCUGAAAACUGGAGAACUUGAGGACCAGAGAGGGACAUAGAAUUCCGGGUGGAGUGGUGAAAUGCGUAGAUAUCCGGAGGAAUACCAAAGGCGAAGGCAGUGUCCUGGGGGGUGACUGACGCUGAGGCGCGAAAGCUAGGGGAGCGAACAGG
rnacentral:misc_RNA from 1 species